ACAGCACCUCGUCGCAACGGAAAAGCGCAAUCUCGUCUCGCCAUUCUCUCUCUCACACACACACCUCGCGUCGCCUCCCUCCCCGAGCGAGCGAGCGAGCGUGCGCGUGCCUACGCCCUCCUCUCUACCGCCAUGGCGAUCUCGCCGGUGGCGGCGAUGGCGCUGGCCAUCGCCCUCGCGGCGCUCUGCCUCGCGGGGCUGGCCGCCGGGUUCUACCUCCCAGGCGUCGCGCCCAACAACUUCGACAAGAAAGAUCCUCUUCAAGUGAAAGUCAACAAAUUGACAUCAAUCAAGACCCAGCUUCCCUACUCUUAUGUCGACAGUGCUCAAAAUCUCGGUGAAGUUCUUCGUGGUGAUCGAAUCGAGAACUCUCCAUACACGUUUGAAAUGAGAGAGCCUCAAAUGCUGUCAAAUAGUCUGCAAGAUUUCUGUCGGGGAGAAAGAAGCAAAGAUUCUCAAGGAAAAGAUUGAAGAUGAGUACCGUGUGAACAUGAUUCUUGACAACUUACCUCUAGUUGUUCCAAUUAAAAGAAUGGACCAAGAAGGUGCAUAUUUCUAUCAGCAUGUCUUCCAUGUUGGAGCCAAAGGACAAUAUGCAAGGAGCAAGGAUGAAAAGAGCUUCAUUCACAACCAUUUAUCAUUUACUGUGAAGUAUCACAGGGAUGCCCAAAGGGAUGUUUCUAGGAUAGUUGCAUUUGAAGUGAAACCAUACAGUUAUGCUGCAUGUGAUUUAUUAAACAACGUUAAACAUGAAUACGAAGGACAGUGGAAUGACAAGAAGACCCGCCUGACCACUUGUGAUCCUCAUGCAAAACAUAUAAUUACAUCAUCUGAUUCUCCCCAGGAGGUUGAAGUUGGCAAAGACAUAAUAUUUACUUAUGAUGUGGAUUUCAAGGAGAGUGAUAUCAAGUGGGCAUCUCGCUGGCUGGGAUACCUAUCUACUGAUGACGGAUGACCAAAUCCACUGGUUUUCCAUUGUGAAUUCCCUCAUGAUUAUCCUCUUCCUUUCUGGAAUGGUUGCAAUGAUCAUGCUCCGAACCCUUUACCGGGAUAUCUCCAAGUAUAACCAGCUUGGGACUCAGGAAGAAGCCCAGGAAGAAACAGGAUGGAAGCUUGUCCAUGGUGAUGUUUUCAGGCCUCCAUCCAACUCUGACUAGCUCUGUGUUUAUGUCGGUACAGGAGUCCAGUUUAUUGGCAUGCUGCUUGUCACCAUGGUCUUUGCAGUCCUUGGAUUCCUUUCUCCAUCAAACAGGGGUGGACUGAUGACAGCGAUGCUCUUGCUUUGGGUAUUCAUGGGGUUGCUCGCUGGCUACUCUUCUUCAAGUCUUUACAAGUUGUUCAAGGGCGCAGAAUGGAAGAACAUUGCAUUGAGGACAGCCUUCACUUUCCCUGGCAGUGUAUUUGCUAUUUUCUUCUUCCUGAAUUCUCUUAUUUGGGGGCAGAAGUCCUCAGGCGCAGUUCCAUUCACCACAAUGUUUGCCCUUGUCCUCCUUUGGUUCGGUAUCUCAGUGCCCCUAGUAUUUGUUGGGAGUUUCCUUGGCUUCAAGAAGCCUGCAAUUGAGGAUCCCGUGAAAACAAACAAGAUACCCAGGCAGAUUCCUGAGCAGGCCUGGUACAUGAACCCGAUCUUCUCAAUUCUAAUUGGAGGAAUCCUUCCAUUUGGUGCUGUAUUCAUUGAGCUCUUUAUCCUGACCUCCAUCUGGCUGCACCAGUUCUACUACAUCUUUGGGUUCUGAUCCUGGUCAUAACUUGUGCUGAGAUCUCGAUCGUGCUCUGCUACUUCCAGCUGUGCAGCGAGGACUAUCUGUGGUGGUGGAGGUCAUACUUGACAUCAGGGUCUUCUGCUAUCUACCUGUUCUUGUAUGCAACCUUCUACUUCUUCACAAAGCUGGAGAUCACAAAGUUUGUGUCAGCUGUUCUGUACUUCGGUUACAUGCUUACCGCCUCAUAUGCCUUCUUUGCCUUGACUGGUACGAUCGGAUUCUACGCAUGCUUCCUGUUCACUAGGCUGAUGUACUCUUCUGUCAAGAUCGAGUAAAGAGGCUGUCUUGCCUAAUUCUUUAUUGCCACGGCAAGUACUGAUCCUGCGGAGUGCGGACAGUGAAUAUGGUCUCCAAGCUUAGUUGCCUGUGGCAUCAGUUUUGAGUUUUCAAAGCUGGUAGUUAAGAUGAACUGGUGAUUUGUUAUCCCAUGAUUCAGGUAUCAUAGCUAGCUCAGUGGUUUUUUGUUUUCAUUUUCUUUUACCUUUUCUUCUUUUUAUGGAUUUAGCCCUUGGAUCACGGCCUAUUAAGUGGUUGUUGCAGAGUUAAUUGUAUACGAAUGCUGAGUAAUCCAUUUCUCUCCCUAUCAGAAUGUUAUGUACUUGUUGACCUAUAAUGCGACUACCAUUAAAGAUAUUACUGCAGUUGAAAUAUUCAUCUUCCUA